AUUUGGCCUCCCUCUGUCUGACCAACUCAGGGGGUGGGCCCGCACUCCUGGCACAAAGCAGCACAGAAAGCACCAGGGUUCAAAAGCACAAGUAGAAGUGACAAUACAACAUGGACCAGUGGUUCCAAACCUUGAGGAUGGAACAUUUUCAAUUUCUUUUUCACUUUUUUUGUGAAAUACUUAAUAUUUUCACCUCUAAAACUCCAGC